rnacentral:misc_RNA from 1 species
UUAAGUUCAGCGGGUAGUCCUACCUGAUUUGAGGUCAGAGUCAAAAAAGCGUUGCACAGAGGCAAGCGGUGUUCUGAGCAGGCUUGACGCACGCAAGGGACAAGACGAAACUUAUUACGUCUGUCACGGAUGCUAGCGAUCCCACUAAGUCAUUUGAGGCGAGCCGUGUAACCGGCAGACGCCCAUGUCCAAGCCCCAAC